GGCGGCAUGGCCAAGUGGUAAGGCGGGGGACUGCAAAUCCUUUAUCCCCAGUUCAAAUCCGGGUGUCGCCUGAUCAACCAA
rnacentral:tRNA from 38 species